ACUGCUCAGUAACACGUGGACAACCUACCCUUGGGUCUGGCAUAAUCCUGGGAAACUGGGUAUAAUUCCAGAUAGGUCACAGAUGCUGGAAUGCACUGUGGCCGAAAGCUCCGGCGCCCAAGGAUGGGUCUGCGGCCUAUCAGGGUUGUAGUGGGUGUAACGGACCUACUAGCCUACGACGGGUACGGGUUGUGAGAGCAAGAGCCCGGAGAUGGAUUCUGAGACACGAAUCCAGGCCCUACGGGGUGCAGCAGGCGCGAAAACUUUACAAUGCGGGAAACCGUGAUAAGGGAAUCUCGAGUGCCAGCAUAUAAUGUUGGCUGUCCAGAUGCCUAAAAAGCAUCUGUUAGCAAGGGCCGGGCAAGACCGGUGCCAGCAGCCGCGGUAAUACGAU
rnacentral:rRNA from 1 species